rnacentral:lncRNA from 1 species
AGUUCAAGUCUAGCCUGGCUACAAGAUUUUAGAAAUGGCGAAACAAAAUUGGGUACCGAACAAAAUUUGCCCAACUGGUCUGGCUCCAAGAUGCAAACUUUCCUGCGUUUGACUUCAUAGGAACCCGAGCCCUUUUGACAUUACAGACCAUUCUGGUUUGAAGUGUUUAGGUAAAUUUGAAACUACCAGUAUUACAGACCAAUUGUGGUUCCAGUUCCUAGUGCUACCAGAGAAUCAUGCCUUACUGUUGCAACCAGAGCCCUUUUGACAUUACAUCAAUUACAUCUGGUGCGGGCACCAUCUACAUGAUUGCAACGCUCAAGUAAUCACCGAUCUGCAGAACGAAGCAGCAUUAAUAAGUAAUCACCAAAAGUGUAGAUCUGAAGUAGCGCAAUACAUCACAUUCAUAUCAUACGUACUUGGAAUCCGAGCUCUGGAGAAGACCGGCAGGCUGCCGCGUCUGCCCGCCUGGAGAAGAUCGGCAGGCUGCCGCGUCUGCCCGCCUGGAGAAGACCGGCAGGCCGCUGUGCCGUCGAAGAAUCAGGUCGCGGCGCCGGUGAAGAAGCAAGCCGUGACGCCGGAGAUCCGUUCGUCCGUGGAUCCGUCCGCCCGGUAGGCCGCUGCGCCGCGUCCGAAGAUCCGACAGGCGCCGGAGAUCCGUUCGUCCGCGGAUCCGACCGCCCGGUAGGCCGCCGCGUCGUCGAAGAAGUAGGCCGCCACACCGGUGAAGAAGCAGGUCGCCGCGCCGGUGAAGAAGCAGCCACCCCGGUGAAGAAGCAGGCUGCCGCGCCGCCGAGGAUGUGCCAGGCGAAGGAGAG